GACGAACGCUGGCGGCGUGCUUAACACAUGCAAGUCGAACGAAGUGGCGAACGGGUGAGUAACGCGUAAUCAACCUGCCCUUCAGAGGGGGAUAACAGUUGGAAACGACUGCUAAUACCGCAUACUGAAGGAGGGGAUUGCGUCUGAUUAGCUAGUUGGAGGGGUAACGGCCCACCAAGGCGAUGAUCAGUAGCCGGGCGGAUAGGAGGAUCAGCCACACGGGGACUGAGACACGGCCCAGACUCCUACGGGAGGCAGCAGUGGGGAAUUUUGGACAAUGGGCGCAAGCCUGAUCCAGCCAUGCCGCGUGUCUGAAGAAGGCCUUCGGGUUGUAAAGGACUUUUGUCAGGGAAGCGGUACCUGAAGAAUAAGCACCGGCUAACUACGUGCCAGCAGCCGCGGUAAUUC
rnacentral:rRNA from 1 species